UGGGGAAUAUUGCACAAUGGGGGAAACCCCUGAUGCAGCGACGCCGCGUGGGUGAAGAAGUACUUCGGUACGUAAAGCCCUAUCAGCAGGGAAGAAAAUGACGGUACCUGAUUAAGAAGCCCCGGCUAACUACGUGCC
rnacentral:rRNA from 1 species